rnacentral:lncRNA from 1 species
GCAAAAUAAUGCCCUCUGCCCGAGAUGUCCAUUCCCAAUCCUCAGAACCUGGGAAUGCAUUACCUUACAUAGCAAAGGCAAUUUACAGAGAGAGCAAUCCCCAACCAGCCUUCUGCACCCAACUCUCCAUCUCAGAGCCUGUUUCCUGGGAACCCAGGACAGGCGGAGCAUUUUUACUUAUUGAUGUGCAAUGAAAAGAGUCUUGGAUGCAGUGACAGUGACUGAACAAUUCUGCAAGGUUGAAGGCUAAGAAUAAGGCUUCUGUUACCAAAUAGAGGGAUGAAGAGAAGAAAUUUAGCAAGAACAAAGUUUGGAAAGAACGGCAUUUCCCAAAUUUAUUUCCUGGGAACUAUGUAUGCCUUUGGAAUGCUUCAUGGCCUGAGAAAUGUUCCCGCACAGAAUCAUGUGUAUAACCAAGGUAGAUUUGGUCUUGAAAAUGCCUAUUUCAUUUCACCAACAGCCAAAGUGAGGCAUUUAUAAUGCCCAUUCAAAGCAAGAAAUAAUUCAUUAAAAGUCAAGUACCUAAAUACCACCCUUCACUCUGCAAGUUGCUUAACUUUUUAGGUAAGUUACUCAACCUCUCAGUGCAGCAUUUUCCUAAUCUAUAACAUGUCGGCAGUAAUAGUACCUCCCUCAGGGACUUGUGAGUAUCAAAUGACUUAACAAAUGUAAAGCUCUCAGAAUAGCUCCUGGAAUGUAAUAAACAUGAUAUAAGUGUGAG